rnacentral:rRNA from 1 species
AGCGAACGCUGGCGGCAGGCUUAACACAUGCAAGUCGAACGGGCAUAGCAAUAUGUCAGUGGCAGACGGGUGAGUAACGCGUGGGAACGUACCUUUUGGUUCGGAACAACACAGGGAAACUUGUGCUAAUACCGGAUAAGCCCUUACGGGGAAAGAUUUAUCGCCGAAAGAUCGGCCCGCGUCUGAUUAGCUAGUGGGUAGGGUAAUGGCCUACCAAGGCGACGAGCAGUAGCUGGUCUGAGAGGAUGAUCAGCCACAUUGGGACUGAGACACGGCCCAAACUCCUACGGGAGGCAGCAGUGGGGAAUAUUGGACAAUGGGCGUAAGCCUGAUCCAGCCAUGCCGCGUGAGUGAUGAAGGCCGUAGGGUUGUAAAGCUCUUUUGUGCGGGAAGAUAAUGACGGUACCGCAAGAAUAAGCCCCGGCUAACUUCGUG